AUAGUAGUCCAUCCAUCCGAAAAUACUUGUCGGAGAAAUGGAUAAAAAUGGAUGUAUUUAGAACUAAAAUACGUCUAGAUACAUCCAUUUCUCGAACAAGAAUUUCCGGACGGAGGGAGUAUCAC
rfam:Hordeum vulgare subsp. vulgare, WGS project CAJW01000000 data, contig: morex_contig_179985